rnacentral:lncRNA from 1 species
CAAAAACAUGGACAGUGAACUACCAGAGACGGGUACCUAAAAAUAACAGCAAUCCCCAGGAUGUGUGCCAGUUGGAUGGAGCUUGUGCUAUGAUAUCAUCUGUUCGGCUUUGUCAGUGUCUCAGGGACAGAAUCCAGAAACAUGCUGUUUUUUACAGCACAGACGGAUUGAUCAAUUCCAUUCAUGGGCCAUCUGUGGGCACCAGGUUGAAACUACUUUCUAAAGACUUCAGAGAUCUGGAUGUUAGAUCUUACCGACGUCAGCUGGAAAAGUUGCUUGACAAGGACAUAAAAACAGACAAGAAGCAUUUUCUGCGAACAUGGAAUAGAAUCAUUUCCAAGCUAGCAUAGGUAAUAAAUGUUUCCAAAUGACGGAACA